AAUUUUUCUUUUGUUAUCUAAACCACAACGCAGUAAUGUUUCUAUUUUAUUUUCCGUGAUAAGUAUUGUUGCCAUUUUAUUUUUCAAUCAAUAUUUGUUUUUAUUUAUUUGGGAAAACUAAGAGUUCCACUAUACGAUCAUAAGCCUAUCGUUAGUAGCAAUGAAGCUUUCGCUGUGUUUGGGCGGAAUCCUGUUGCUGAAACCCAUGGUUAUUCAUGUCCCAUGUUAUUGCAGGGGAAUAAAUCACGCCUGAGCUCUACCCACUUCGAGUCCAGAGAGUUUUAUUCACACAGCGCUGGAAAGAGAAGCUGACCAGGGGUUACAUUGGUGCCGUGAGCCGUCAAUCGAGUGUUUGGACGGUGGACUCCUCUCAGCAACGUGGGCCAGUUUCAGCGCUGCACGGGAAUAAAUCACGCCUGAGCUCUACCCACUUCGAGUCCAGAGAGUUUUAUUCACACAGCGCUGGAAAGAGAAGCUGACCAGGGGUUACACUAGCUA
ensembl:lncRNA